rnacentral:rRNA from 1 species
AUUGAACGCUGGCGGCAUGCCUUACACAUGCAAGUCGAACGGCAGCACGGGGCAACCUGGUGGCGAGCGGCGAACGGGUGAGUAAUGUAUCGGAACGUACCCAGUCGUGGGGGAUAACUAUCCGAAAGGAUAGCUAAUACCGCAUACGACCUGAGGGUGAAAGCGGGGGACCGUAAGGCCUCGCGCGAUUGGAGCGGCCGAUAUCGGAUUAGCUAGUUGGUGAGGUAAAGGCUCACCAAGGCGACGAUCCGUAGCUGGUCUGAGAGGACGACCAGCCACACUGGAACUGAGACACGGUCCAGACUCCUACGGGAGGCAGCAGUGGGGAAUUUUGGACAAUGGGGGCAACCCUGAUCCAGCCAUUCCGCGUGAGUGAAGAAGG